CCUACGGGUGGCAGCAGUGGGGAAUAUUGGACAAUGGGGGGAACCCUGAUCCAGCCAUGCCGCGUGUGUGAAGAAGGCCCUCGGGUUGUAAAGAACUUUCAGUGAGGAAGAACGCCUGGUGGUUAAUACCCAUCAGGAAAGACAUCACUCACAGAAGAAGCACCGGCUAACUCCGUGCCAGCAGCCGCGGUAAUACGGAGGGUGCGAGCGUUAAUCGGAAUUACUGGGCGUAAAGCGCGCGUAGGUGGCUUGAUAAGCCGGUUGUGAAAGCCCCGGGCUCAACCUGGGAACGGCAUCCGGAACUGUCAAGCUAGAGUGCAGGAGAGGAAGGUAGAAUUCCCGGUUUAGCGGUGAAAUGCGUAGAGAUCGGGAGGAAUACCAGUGGCGAAGGCGGCCUUCUGGACUGACACUGACACUGAGGUGCGAAAGCGUGGGUAGCAAACAGGAUUAGAUACCCUUGUAGUC
rnacentral:rRNA from 1 species